rnacentral:rRNA from 1 species
UACGAAGGGGGGCUAGCGUUGCUCGGAAUCACUGGGCGUAAAGCGCACGUAGGCGGCUUACUAAGUCAGGGGUGAAAUCCUGGAGCUCAACUCCAGAACUGCCUUUGAUACUGGUGAGCUUGAGUCCGGAAGAGGUGAGUGGAACUGCGAGUGUAGAGGUGAAAUUCGUAGAUAUUCGCAAGAACACCAGUGGCGAAGGCGGCUCACUGGCCCGAUACUGACGCUGAGGCACGAAAGCGUGGGGAGCAAACAGG